ACCGCUUCUCGGCCUUUUGGCUAAGAUCAAGUGUAGUAUCUGUUCUUAUCAGUUUAAUAGGAUAUCUUUAGCAUGCUUAGGGACUUGUGUAAUUAUUAACGGUCUUCCAUGUAGAUAUCAA
rnacentral:snRNA from 1 species